rnacentral:rRNA from 1 species
GAGGAAUAUUGGUCAAUGGACGCGAGUCUGAACCAGCCAAGUAGCGUGAAGGAUGACUGCCCUAUGGGUUGUAAACUUCUUUUAUAAGGGAAUAAAGUGAGGGACGUGUCCCUUUUUGUAUGUACCUUAUGAAUAAGGAUCGGCUAACUCCGUGCCAGCAGCCGCGGUAAUACGGAGGAUCCAAGCGUUAUCCGGAUUUAUUGGGUUUAAAGGGAGCGUAGGUUGACAUAUAAGUCAGCUGUGAAAGUUUACGGCUCAACCGUGAAAUUGCAGUUGAUACUGUAUGUCUUGAGUGUACAAGAGGUGGGCGGAAUUCGUGGUGUAGCGGUGAAAUGCUUAGAUAUCACGAAGAACUCCAAUUGCGAAGGCAGCUCACUGGGGUACAACUGACACUGAGGCUCGAAAGUGUGGGUAUCAAACA